AUUGAACGCUGGCGGCAGGCCUAACACAUGCAAGUCGAACGGUAACAGGAAGCAGCUUGCUGCUUCGCUGACGAGUGGCGGACGGGUGAGUAAUGUCUGGGAAACUGCCUGAUGGAGGGGGAUAGCUACUGGAAACGGUAGCUAAUACCGCAUAACGUCGCAAGACCAAAGAGGGGGACCUUCGGGCCUCUUGCCAUCGGAUGUGCCCAGAUGGGAUUAGCUAGUAGGUGGGGUAACGGGUCACCUAGGCGACGAUCCCUAGCUGGUCGGAGAGGAUGACCAGCCACACUGGAACUGAGACACGGUCCAGACUCCUACGGGAGGCAGCAGUGGGGAAUAUUGCACAAUGGGCGCAAGCCUGAUGCAGCCAUGCCGCGUGUAUGAAGAAGGCCUUCGGGUUGUAAAGUACUUUCAGCGGGGAGGAAGGGAGUAAAGUUAAUACCUUUGCUCAUUGACGUUGCCCGCAGAAGAAGCACCGGCUAACUCCGUGCCAGCCGCCGCCGUAA
rnacentral:rRNA from 1 species